CUGACAGUGAGUAGCAUGUACUGGAUCCUACCUAGGUCCAUUGGAACCUCUCUCUCCUCCUCUUCCACCAGAGAGACACAGGCUUCUCUGCCCCCACCUGCAGAUAGGUGUGCCAGAGGCUGCCAGGUGACUGAGAACCACAUAGAAAGGAAGAGGUGCAGGUAGCAUCCUGGGACAUUUCUGGAAGGUGUCACCCAUGGAACCAGGGUGGGAGAGCCUGGCUCACAGGUCUGGGGCAGGCUUUGAGUGAGGGUGUCAGCCCCACACAGCCCCUCACCUCAAACCCAGCCGAGCUCCCAUGCUGGUCUCUGGCCAGAGCACCUGUGGGCCCAGGAGGCCAUGAAGGCAUGGGAGCCCUCGAUGGCCCUCUAGGACCUGCCUGGAAGGAACAGCACAGCUG
rnacentral:lncRNA from 1 species